GAUGAACGCUGGCGGCGUGCCUAAUACAUGCAAGUCGAACGCACAGCGAAAGGUGCUUGCACCUUUUCAAGUGAGUGGCGAACGGGUGAGUAACACGUGGACAACCUGCCUCAAGGCUGGUGGAUAACAUUUGGAAACAGAUGCUAAUACCGAAUAAACUCAGUGUACGCGAUGACACAAGGUUAAAAGGCGCUUUGGCGUCACCUAGAGAUGGAUCCGCGG
rnacentral:rRNA from 1 species